rnacentral:rRNA from 1 species
GACGAACGCUGGCGGCGUGCCUAAUACAUGCAAGUUGAGCGCUGAAGGUUGGUACUUGUGGCAACUGGAUGAGCAGCGAACGGGUGAGUAACGCGUGGGGAAUCUGCCUUUGAGCGGGGGACAACAUUUGGAAACGAAUGCUAAUACCGCAUAAAAACUUUAAACACAAGGUUGAAGUGUGAAAGAUGCAAUUGCAUCAUGCAAAGAUGAUCCCGCGUUGUAUUAGCUAGUUGGUGAGGUAAAGGCUCACCAAGGCGAUGAUACAUAGCCGCCCUGAGAGGGUGGUCAGCCACACUGGGACUGUGACACGGCCCAAACGCCUUCGGGUGGCAGCAGUACGGAAUCGUCGGCAAGGAGUGAAAGUCUGACCGCGAAACGCCGCGUCAGGGAAGAAGGUUGUCGGAUCGUAAAACUCGGUUGUUAGGUUGGAACGUUGGUGAGAGUGGAAAGCUCAUCAAGUGACGGUAACUACUCAGAAAGCGACGGCUAACUACGUG